AGCAUUUGGGUUGGUGAUGGUCAGUAGGUUUCUCUCUGGAGCUUCAGGAAAAAGGGUCUCAUUGGAGUGAUUUGUUAGGCAGUCUCCCUUAAUGGCCCACGUUUGGAAGGAGUUGGAGGCGGCACAAGAACAACAGUGAUUAUUUGUGCUCUUUGGGGAUGCCUGUCCUGCUGUCUGCUGCCAUGGUGCCCCUCUACCUGGUGUUGUUUCUGGAACCUGAAGCCUGUAUGGCUGAGCAUCAGGAAGAUGGAGAUGAGCAGAGCCCUGAGCUGGGGGCUGCAGGAUGGAGGGGACGAGCUGAGCUCGAGUGUGUGGGUGUUGGCAGGACGUGUCUCUCAGGAAACUGCUUCCAUGCUCAGUAAUAACUUUGGAAAUGUCAGCACAGCAGAAGGGACUUUAACAAAUGCAGACCUGGGGGGACCAUGUGUUGCACUGGGCUUUUCUCAGCCCUCAUGCCUGUUUCUCAGACCCGCACGGAUGUGGGUAACUUAUCUCAGGCAGCAGUGAUUUGGAUGCCUGGCCCCAAUGGGAUGUGUGCGCUACGAGGCUGAGGUCUGGGCAAAGAGUGACGUUAUUUCUGGGAUUUAACAUUAUUUUCUUAACUACCAUGUAGCUGCCCAGCCUUGGAAAAGAGGUGCUGCUCUGUAUUUUUGCCUUGAUUUGACUGUCGUAGAGGUGGAAUGGAUUAAAUUGGGACAAAAAAGUAGGGAGAUGUCAUUUGUUGUCUUUUAUUGGCAUCUCAUUUUGCAGUUUUCCCACUAUCUGUUGCUGUUGUAUCAGGAAAAUGUUUUCCAGCUAACGGAGACACUGGGAAUUGGUCACUUAAAUUAUACUUCAGUUCUUCAAACAAGAACGUGACGCUGAAAUUGAUAUUCAUGGUCAUAUGUCAUCAUUCUAACAAAGUCAUCAAUUUGGAAUGUCCAAACAACGAUCUCAUUUCUCUUCAGCAAUUUGGAUUUAUUUAUACAUUUAUUUUUCAACUGUGCAUCUGAAGAGUCUUCUCUGGUAGUUGGAUUUUUUAGUUAUUCCAUUGUGUUGGAUGUAAUUCUUCCUAUCAUCAAAAUAUUGGACUAUCAGGCAGCUUCACCUUGCAAAUAGGAAUUAAUUUUUCCUGUUGAAGGAGGGGGAGAGGGGGAAAGCAACAAAAAAAAACCACCCUUGAAAGCCUUGAUAAGCAUAUAUGUGUGAGUUCCUUUACCAUCACUCUUUUCACCUUAAUGGUGUUACAUCUUGGCUGGCUGCAGCCAUUUGACACAGAUGGGCUGAGCCACUCCAGCAACCUCUUGCUCUCCAAAGUGCCUACAGAACACCCAUAGGUAACAUCUUAGAACUAAACUCCAAACUUCUUGCAAGUUGGAAGUAAGAUGGAGACUCUCUCUGAUUUGAGAGGGGGAAAAAAUGCUGCUGUCAAGUUUCUCUUCACAUUUCCUUACUGGAAUGGGAGAGUGCAAUUGGUUUUGAUAAAAGGGAUAUUGUAUGAGUAAUGGGCUGACAGAGAGCUGCUCUGAGCUGAAUGAGCAGCUACUCAAAGGUUGGUACAGUAGCAAAACCAGCAAUGCCGUGAAUAUAUUACCCAGGGAUCUAAGGCAAAUGCACGUUGUAUUGGAUACAUGCUGCUGAAUGUAAAUCCGUAGUGCUGAAAUACUGUAUAUUUAUUGUGCAAGCCAAAGCUGAAGACAGUUUCUGUUUGAUGGACUCCUGGUGAUGAAUGGAUUGUUUCAUUUGAGUAAAUGAACUGUCAAAAACAAUGGCUGCACAGUACAAUUUCUCUCCCUGUCCCCAAAGGGCAGGAAAGCUCUGCAGCCAAAAUAAAGUUGUGUUUUUGUG
rnacentral:lncRNA from 7 species